rnacentral:rRNA from 1 species
CCUACGGGAGGCAGCAGUGAGGAAUAUUGGUCAAUGGACGAGAGUCUGAACCAGCCAAGUAGCGUGAAGGAUGACUGCCCUAUGGGUUGUAAACUUCUUUUAUAUGGGAAUAAAAUGUUCCACGUGUGGGAUUUUGUAUGUACCAUAUGAUUAAGGAUCGGCUAACUCCGUGCCAGCAGCCGCGGUAAUACGGAGGAUCCGAGCGUUAUCCGGAUUUAUUGGGUUUAAAGGGAGCGUAGAUGGGUUGUUAAGUCAGUUGUGAAAGUUUGCGGCUCAACCGUAAAAUUGCAAUUGAUACUGGCAGUCUUGAGUACAGGUGAGGUAGGCGGAAUUCGUGGUGUAGCGGUGAAAUGCUUAGAUAUCACGAAGAACCCCGAUUGCGAAGGCGGCUUACUAAACUGUGACUGACAUUGAUGCUCGAAAGUGUGGGUAGCAAACAGGAUUAGAUACCCGGGUAGUC